rnacentral:sRNA from 1 species
AGCAGCCGCGGUAAUUCCAGCUCCAAUAGCGUAUAUUAAAGUUGUUGCAGUUAAAAAGCUCGUAGUUGAAUUUCGGGAUCAAUUGAUUGGUCAUGCCUUGGUAUGAACUGGUCAUAUUGGUUCUCACCUUCUAAUGAACCAUAAUGUCAUUCACUUGAUGUUAUGGGGAAUUAGGACUGUUACCUUGAAAAAUUAGAGUGUUUAAAGCAGGCUUACGCUUGAAUACAUUAGCAUGGAAUAAUGAAAUAGGACAUCGCAUUCUAUUUUGUUGGUUUCUAGGAUCGAUGUAAUGAUUAAUAGGGAUAGUUGGGGGCAUUAGUAUUCAAUUGUCAGAGGUGAAAUUCUUGGAUUUAUUGAAGACUAACUACUGCGAAAGCAUUUGCCAAGGAUGUUUUCAUUAAUCAAGAACGAAAGUUAGGGGAUCGAAGACGAUCAGAUACCGUCGUAGUCUUAACCAUAAACUAUGCUGACUAGGGAUCGGAUGAUGUUAAUUUUAAA